UACACUCCUACGGGAGGCAGCAGUGGGGAAUAUUGGACAAUGGGCGCAAGCCUGAUCCAGCCAUGCCGCGUGAGUGAUGAAGGCCCUAGGGUUGUAAAGCUCUUUCACCGGUGAAGAUAAUGACGGUAACCGGAGAAGAAGCCCCGGCUAACUUCGUGCCAGCAGCCGCGGUAAUACGAAGGGGGCUAGCGUUGUUCGGAUUUACUGGGCGUAAAGCGCACGUAGGCGGACUAUUAAGUCAGGGGUGAAAUCCCAGGGCUCAACCCCGGAACUGCCUUUGAUACUGGUAGUCUUGAGUUCGAGAGAGGUGAGUGGAAUUCCGAGUGUAGAGGUGAAAUUCGUAGAUAUUCGGAGGAACACCAGUGGCGAAGGCGGCUCACUGGCUCGAUACUGACGCUGAGGUGCGAAAGCGUGGGGAGCAAACAGGAUUAGAAACCCGAGUAGUCCCAUGA
rnacentral:rRNA from 1 species